rnacentral:rRNA from 1 species
AAGGAAGCACACUCCGGUCAUAGAUUAAGCCAUGCAAGUGUCAGUUCAGGGCUCGAAACUGCGAAUAGCUCAUUAAUACGCUUGGUAUCUACUUGGUUGCGACUCACGGGUCAUAAAAGGAUAGCAGCAGUAAUUCUGGUGCUAAUACAUGCUAUUGUCUCAUGUUUUACGAAUAAGCAAGGGAAAGUUGACCGUCAGGCAUACCAUUCGAAUGAGCGACCUAUCAGCUUGUACUUAGGGUCUUUACCUAGGUAGGCUAUCACGGGUACCGGGCGGUUACCGUCGGACUGCCGGAGAAGGCGCCUGAGAGAUAGCGACUAUAUCCACGGGUAGCAGCAGGCGCGAAACUUCCCCACUCGAGACUUUCGGAGGUGGUAAUGACCAGUUCCAUUUCUUUUUUUGUAAAAAGUAUGGAUAGGAUGACAUUUAUCUCAUGUUGAGAAAUCUAGCAGAGGGCCAGUCUGGUGCCAGCAGCUGCGGUAAUUCCGGCUCUGCGAGUUUGCUCCCAUAUUGUUGCAGUUAAAACGCCCGUAGUCUGAGCUUUUUCGAAAGAAAGAUGCGACCCUGUGGGGUUCGUUCACUGUGAACAAAUCAGGACGCUUAGAGUAUUUUGAUAUGAAUGACUCAGCGCAGUAUGAUAUUUUUACCGUCAGGUCAGAUCAAAGAGAGCGAUCGGGGGGUAGAUCUAAUUCAUGGCGAGUGGUGGAAUACAGUGACCCAUGAGAGAGAAACGAAUGCGAAGGCAUCUACCCAGUGUGUCUCUGUCGAUCAAGGGCGAGAGUAGGAGUAUCCAACCGGAUUAGAGACCCGGGUAGUUCCUACAUUAAACGAUGCCGACAGGCGCAUGUUUUUUAGCGAAGCAGGUGCCAGUGAGAAAUGAUAGUUCAUGGGCUCUGGGGGAACUACGACCGCAAGGCUGAAACUUGAAGGAAUUGACGGAAGGGCACACCAGGGGUGGAGCUUGUGGCUUAAUUUGAAUCAACACGGGGAAACUCACCAGGACCAGAUGUUUUGUAUGACUGACAGGCUUUGGGUCUUUCAGGAUGUGACUUUUGGUGGUGCAUGGCCGUUGGUGGUGCGUGGGUUGACCUGUCUAGCGUUGAUUCAGAUAACGAGCGAGAUUAUCACCAAUUUUUUAAGCGAAAUGCUACGGCAUUUCUUGUAUAAGUUGGGACUCCCUGCGUCGAAGCAGGCGGAAGAGGGUAGCAAUAACAGGUCCGUGAUGUCCUUUAGAUGCUCUGGGCUGCACGCGCGCUACAAUGUGUGUUUGAAAGAGAAGCGAAGUUGAGAGACAGUGCUAAUCUGCGAAUAACACACGUAGUUGGGAUUGGUGAUUGUAAUGAUCAUCAUGAACCAGGAAUCCCUUGUAAAUGCGUGUCAACAGCGCGCGUUGAAUACGUCCCUGCCCUUU